AAUUCUCAACCUCACCAGUUUUCUGAACUGCGUCGAGGCUUGGAUGUGGGGGUUUGUGCAGGCUGCCUCAGCGCGGUCUGCUCCCCUGAAAUGCAUUAGCGAGGUUCAUACUGAGCUUCCGUCUAUUGGUGUGAUAAUUAUCUACGCCGUGGACAGGGUUCAGACUCGCUUCUAACCGUCCCUCGGGACAAUACCCUUGACA
rnacentral:misc_RNA from 1 species